UCUGUCUGAAACUGAUACAAAUGCUGAUGGAGUUUCCAGAGUCUCGCUCAUAUUCAUUAGAAAGACAGACCGGAACUUUGCAAUCGUCCAACACUAUAGCUAUAUUGUAGCUCGAAAAAUAUUGGUUCUGUUGUAACGCAUUUCAAAGUUUUAUUUCAUGUUUUCAUCAGACAGUAUUUAAAGGCAAGAAGAAUGACAUUCUGGUACCUUGUGAUGACCUCUUGGUGCUGCCACAGAAUCAGCUGCACUAAAAGGUGAUACCCAUGUUCUGGAGUUAUGCUGCCAAACUGACGGAAUGGCAAAAAGGAACAGAGAUGAGGUGUCUGCUGAGAUAAAACGGGUAUACUAUUCAAGUAAUUGUAUGUAUAUCUCUCUAUAAUACCCUCACUUCCUGUCUGUCUCUAUUUCCUUUUUUCUGUGAAUGCAGAACUGUUAACUGCCUUCAUAUAAAUACAAAAAUGGCAAAGGAUCUGGUUUCUAGU